UUUAUAAAUUUUCUCAACCUAAUUCGAAACAUAUAUAGUUAUUCAUCAAUUACUUCUUAAAUAUAUAAAUCGUUUAUAUAAUUAGUCUGACAUAAUCCGUUCAGUUUUAUACAUUAAUGCUAAAUCUUUGAUUAUCUUUUAUGCAGAUCAUUGCUUGACUAUGGGGAUGUCUUCGGAAAAUAGUAACCUAUAGAUUUCAUGACAUUUGAUACAAAACGUUUGAUCUUUUUCUACCCUCUCCUUCUUCCAGGGGAUUUGAUGAUUCUUAUUCGAUGACAAGCUUCGCAAUAACUUUUCUUAGGUCAACGACACCAAUGAUAACGUUUUUCGCACCUAACCGUGAGUCGCACGCAUUUAUGUCGCUCAAUUAUGUCGUAAGAGGAAAGGUCCGAAUUGGCAAGGUGACUAGUUGUAUAUUGUAUUAAAGUAGCGCGCAAAAUUCAGAUAGUGGAAAUUUGUUUUAAUCAACCAGCUGAAUAGUUUUGGAGUAAAUAACUAUUUUAAUAAAGACGAAUUGUGAAUGGGAUAAAGAUACUUCCAAAAAAAAAAGAA